ACAAAUUGUUAUGAUUGAGCCUCAUGGCUCUGCUACUGGCAGACGUGGGCGUAAGACUCCUCGAGAGUCAGAUACUCUCGAGGAGCGAGAAAGAAAGAGGCUGCGAGAUAUCUUUGCAGAACCAUCUGACGAAGAGUCUUUUGAGGGGUUUACGGAGAGAAUGGAGGAAGAGCUGGUUAGCUCGGAAGAGGAUGAGAUGGAUUGGACUCGGGUAAGGGAGGAAUUGGGUGCCACUGGCAAUGAUGGGAUGGAAGAUGAUUGGGGACCUUCAGGACUAGACCCAUGGACAAGCUGGAGGGAUGGGACGGGAUCCACAGCUGGGGAUGCUGUGGGGCGUAGUCAGAGGUGUUCCAGUUCUGAUGAGGAAAGUGAUGAGGAAACGCCCGGGUUAAGGAGAACAGCUGAUAGUGAUGAGGACUUGUAACUGGCAUAAAAUGGGGUUUGGGAGCAAUAGCAAAUUGCGUUGGGCAAGGUAAUCUGGACAAACGCUUGGGAUCUGUGUGGGACGUUUUCCUGAAGACGGGUGUGUUUCGUGUGCUGAUUACCUUUGACCUUCCGUCGUCUUCUUGACGGACGCCAUCUGCUGCUCUGGAUUUACGGACUGAACUGACUACGGGCUCGGAUUCUCCUACCUGGACUUGGUGAACUACAAACGUCUGCUUCUGCCUAUCGACCUUCGGAAAGAACUGGGACUACUCUACUGCUUCAAUCCUCGGCUGUUGUGUUUGUAUUGGGAAUUUGCCUGCUGUGUGGAGGAGUGACUUCUAAGUUACUCAAAACAUAGUGCUGGCAGCAGAGAGGCAUCUGUUGCCAAUUAGUUACAUUCUUUUGAACUCUUUGUUCCCCAGCUUCUGUUUUGUUAUUUCCCAGGCUGAAGCAAGCUGUUUUGAUUUUACCCGGAUUAAACUCCGGUUUAAUCCGGUUUAUCUUUUGAACGUUUUUCUUGCCCCUUUUUGCUUUUUAAGGCUAAUGUUGCCUAGCCCUUGUCUUUUACGGGCAUUUUGAGUUCUGUAAAUCCAAUAAACUCUGUUAUCUUUGA